rfam:Ornithorhynchus anatinus chromosome 3, whole genome shotgun sequence.
CCCCUCUCAAGGUCGUACCUGGAGAGUUUCCAGUACUCUACCAGUCUUGACUAAAAGAGGGAGAGUCAAGCAGAGGCUUACCCAUUCCAUUUCUAGCUUGGGCAGUGGUGACGAGUGGAAGACAAUCUGCCACAAGU